UAGGCAGCAGCAUCUGUGGUUCACCAA
rnacentral:piRNA from 1 species